rnacentral:lncRNA from 10 species
AAUACAGCAAUGGACAAGAUGGCCAAGUCCCAAGCACUGCCGGAGUAGGAGAAACGUUCCCAUACUCUGAUUUUCUUAUUCUGAAAAUGUCUGGGGAAGAAUUGUGCCAACAGUUAAAGAUAAUACUGGGAAGCUUCCUUGUCCCGGCCCAGGCACCCGUGGAGCAUCCCCUCCAUCAACUGGAUUGCCAUCUCCUUCUGGGUGCCCAUAUUUGAAUCUUUAAUGUAGGGCUACUGCAGUGACGCUGCCAACAAAUGACUUAAGAUGGAUCAGACUUGGGCAUUUUCAGUUAAAGUACUGCUGUCUACAUGAGCCACUGGAACACCACAUAGAUGGAAUUAGAAUGGCAGAAUCCCUUUUGCCUCACCCACACGAAGCUACUCUUGAUCAUUAAUUACAGUAAUUUUGAAAGCUGCAUUUUGUUUUGUUAGAUUUCCUUUUACAAACUUACAGAAACUGAAUAAGUAUUUAUAAAAAUAUUAAUUCCCGGGACUCUCAUUUUAGAAAUCUAAUUUAGUAAGUUGACCUUGAGACCUGGAAAUUUGUUUUUAAAAGUUAUUUCUUUGAUUUUUUUUUUUAUAAACUGAAAACAUAAUACUGGAACAUGUUUAAAACUCAGCACCAGCUAUUUAUUAAGUGAUUCUACACUAAUAUUAUCUACAAUUUCUCAAUAAGGUUCAACUACUUUUAUUUCACAUGUAAAAAAUAACAAUCUAGAAGCAUUACAUUCAAUUUUUGACAUUAAGUAUAUCUUAUAUUUAAAUUUAAAUAUGUUGCACAGUUUGGUUUUCCUUAUACAUUUGCAUUUUUACAAUUUACAGUUGUCUACACUAUUUUUCCUUAUUCUCUUCUUAGAAAACGAACCCUGAAAACUGAGGAAAAAUUAAGCAACACACUUUAUGGGUGUGAAUCCCACUCCAAUCCCAGAGCACUUUCCAUUUUUUCUCUAGGAUUACAAGUAUACCACUAAGUUUAAUAGUAUUUUUUUUUCUGUUAAACUAGCUCUCAUUAAUAUAUUUUUCAACAAUGCUAAAACAGAGCCUUUAAAUGUUCUUGCUACAAAUAAAUGAUAAGCAUUUGGAGUGCCAGGUAUGCUAAUUAGCCUGAUUUGAUUGUUCCACAAUAUACAUAUGUAUUGAAACAUUACAUUAUACUCCAUAAGUACACAAAAUUAUUAUUUGUCAUUAAAAAUGAAAUAAAAUUAAAACUAAAAAAUAGCUCUCACCACUGUGCAUUUUCUCAGUACAAGCAGGGGAUGUAUCUGAGGCGGACACUGCUUGUCUAACUUCGCAAAGGAAAUGAUGAGCUGAGUUCUAGACAAGGCAAUGUCAGCCUAGAGCUCCAAACACC